rnacentral:tRNA from 1 species
GGGCGUGUGACUCAGUGGUAGAGUGUUCGCUUUGCAUCUUGCUCCAACGAGCAGUUACCCCGCUUGCGAAAAGUCCGGUGUUCGAUCCACCGCUCGUCCA